rnacentral:misc_RNA from 1 species
GUGAAUCAUCGAAUUUUUGAACGCAAAUUGCGCCUUUUUCUGAAGGCAUGUCUGUUUGAGGGCACCAUUUAACAAAUAAUGUGCACCGUUUUGUGUGUGCACACGUUGAUGAGCUUUCCAGGAAAAAUUUUUUUUUUUUUUUUUUUUUUGUGGGCCAUAAUGAACAACGCGAAAGCUUUUUUUUUAUUUUGAGUGUAUG